rnacentral:rRNA from 1 species
AGUGAACGCUGGCGGUAGGCCUAACACAUGCAAGUCGAACGGCAGCACAGUAAGCGUUUGCCCUUACGGGUGGCGAGUGGCGGACGGGUGAGGAAUACAUCGGAAUCUACUUUUUCGUGGGGGAUAACGUAGGGAAACUUACGAUAAUACCUCAUAUGACCUACGGGUGAAAGCAGGGGAUCUUCGGACCUUGCGCGAUUGAAUGAGCCGAUGCCGGAUUAGCUAGUUGGCGGGGUAAAGGCCCACCAAGGCGACGAUCCGUAGCUGGUCUGAGAGGAUGGUCAGCCACACUGGAACUGAGACACGGUCCAGACUCCUACGGGAGGCAGCAGUGGGGAAUAUUGGACAAUGGGCGCAAGCCUGAUCCAGCCAUACCGCGUGAGUGAAGAAGGCCUUCGGGUUGUAAAGCCCUUUUGUUGGGAAAGAAAAGCAGCAUGUUAAUACCCCGCUGUUCUGACGGUACCCAAAGAAUAAGCACCGGCUAACUUCGUG